rnacentral:lncRNA from 1 species
UGACAACCCAGGACCGAUGGUUGUGUUUGCCACGCCAGGAAUGCUGCACGCUGGGCAGUCCCUGCAGAUCUUCCGGAAAUGGGCCGGAAACGAAAAGAACAUGGUCAUCAUGCCCGGCUACUGCGUGCAGGGCACCGUCGGCCACAAGAUCCUCAGCGGGCAGCGGAAGCUCGAGAUGGAGGGGCGGCAGGUGCUGGAGGUCAAGAUGCAGGUGGAGUACAUGUCAUUCAGCGCACACGCGGACGCCAAGGGCAUCAUGCAGCUGGUGGGCCAGGCAGAGCCGGAGAGCGUGCUGCUGGUGCAUGGCGAGGCCAAGAAGAUGGAGUUCCUGAAGCAGAAGAUCGAGCAGGAGCUCCGUAGGCAGCCGGGCGGGCGGCGUGGGGCCCACCUCGGGUCAGCACGGGCAGCCUGGGCUGAGGCUCUCUCUUCCCCCGGGGUCCAGGGGUCAACUGCUACAUGCCGGCCAAUGGCGAGACGGUGACGCUGCCCACAAGCCCCAGCAUCCCCGUAGGCAUCUCGCUGGGGCUGCUGAAGCGGGAGAUGGCGCAGGGGCUGCUCCCUGAGGCCAAGAAGCCUCGGCUCCUGCACGGCACCCUGAUCAUGAAGGACAGCAACUUCCGGCUGGUGUCCUCAGAGCAAGCCCUCAAAGAGCUGGGUCUGGCUGAGCACCAGCUGCGCUUCACCUGCCGCGUGCA